UAAAUUUCACCUUUCUGAGAAGG
rnacentral:miRNA from 1 species